rnacentral:lncRNA from 1 species
ACUUAUUUUUGUCCAUCUGAUGAGUUAAGCCUUUUUCAACUGAUUUUUAUAGUUCGUUCUUAUGUUGUACUGUUAUACCACUGUCCCAGGUUAGGGGAGGGUUGGGAUCCUGCUAACAUGUUUAACCCCGCCACAUUAUUUAUGUAUGUGCCUGUCCCAAGUCAGGAUCCUGUAAUUCAGUGGUUGUCGUUUGUUUAUGUGUUACAUAUUUGUUUUUCGUUCAUUUUUUUACAUAAAUAAGGCCGUUAGUAUUCUCGUUUGAAUUGUUUUACAUUGUCUUAUCGGGGCCUUUUAUAGCUCACUAUGCGGUAUGGGCUUUGCUCAUUGUUGAAGGCCGUACGGUGACCUAUAGUUGUUAAUGUCUGUGUCAUUUUGGUCUUGUGUGGAUAGUUGUCUCAUUGGCAAUCAUACCACAUCUUCUUUUUUAUAUUAACUUUAUAAUAACAGUAAAUGACUCAAUGCUCAAGUUCGACAUUUGUCAUUGUGUUGUGGUUCUUAAUGACAUUGUCAAAUUGUGUUGGUGUUUUAUAAAAUUU